AGUUCUAGCUCAAAAUGAGUGACCUAUUGGCUAUGGUCACUCCCAAAAUCAGUUGACCGGAAGUUCCGGCGAGUGUUUGUGUGUGUGUGUUAGUGCUCUUGGACAGAUCAAUGGAUAUGAAUGGAGGUGGAACUGGACUCCAGGAUGCAGUGCGUCAAGAUCCUGUCCAGUUCUAGGUAAAAUUGGAUGCUAUGGUCACUCGAAAAGCCAUUUGACCAGAAGUUCCAGCGAAUGAUUGUGUGUGUGAUGGUGCUUUUGGACAGAUGUCUGUACAUGUAUUGGAUUACAUGGAUUACUGGAAUAUAUACAUGGAGAAGUCACCAUUCAAGACUCCAGAGCGUCAUCGAAAA